rnacentral:rRNA from 1 species
UACGGGGGGAGCAAGCGUUGUUCGGAUUUACUGGGCGUAAAGGGCGCGUAGGCGGCAUGACAAGUCACUUGUGAAAUCUCCGGGCUUAACUCGGAACGGCCAAGUGAUACUGUCAAGCUAGAGUGCAGAAAGGGCAAUCGGAAUUCUUGGUGUAGCGGUGAAAUGCGUAGAUAUCAAGAGGAACACCUGAGGCGAAGGCGGGUUGCUAGGCUGACACUGACGCUGAGGCGCAAAAGCCAGGGGAGCAAACGGG